AAUCUGUUACCAAGAGAACAGCCAUUGCCAGGAAGAAAUGCCUUCCCUUUUCUCACUCUACUGCCUUCUUCACAGAUCAGCACCCUUUUCUUCGCUUUCCACAUGCUUCCUCUUCCUUCUUAGGAAAGAAUGUGAUGUUUGAUGGGCAUGUGUCAGGCAGCACUGAGCCGCGAAAGAGCAUCUGGAGGAUGUGAAGCUUGGUCCUGACUUUGCCCUUAACCAAGACCUCGGUGACCUUGAGCAGGGGCCGGGCAGGGGGGAAGGUCACAGACUCUCUGGGUCUCUGUUUUCUCAACUCUAACCUAAGAGGCUGCACUCAGUAGGCCCAGUGUGUCUCCAUGAUUCUGUGAAUCUGUAACUUUCAAAAUCUUCAGAACACCCGUGAAGGGUAAGCAGGCAGGGAUUUUUGUCCAUAUUUGACUCAUGAAGAAACUAAGGAUGGAGGAAGUGAGAGGACUGAGGAGUGUUUGAACCAGCGCCAGAAGUGAGUUCACCUGAGUUCCAGCACAAUAUUCCUUCUAGCGUGAGAGAAACAUGGACCCUUCCUCCCAGGAAUUUACUAUCAAGCUUAUUCAGCUGGCACUGGUUUGAGGAAAGACUACAGGCUCUUAAGAGAGGUCAGCAAGGGAGGCAGGACCGCCAGAAAGGGCCGGUCGGACCUGGGUCAUGGCCGCUGUGAGGAGGGAAAUCGGAAGAGGCUGUUUGCUGAGGGGCUGGCAUUCCCUGGAGCACAAGGGAAGGGGAAGUUGCCAGGAAACCCUGAGUUUUCCAACCUGACAAUCAGGCCACAGCUGAGUUUUUAUAGGAAAUUGCCCAGCU
rnacentral:lncRNA from 1 species